UACGUAGGGGGCUAGCGUUGUCCGGAUUUAUUGGGCGUAAAGAGCGUGUAGGCGGCCAGGUAGGUCUGCUGUGAAAACUCGAGGCUCAACCUCGAGACGUCGGCGGAAACCAUCUGGCUAGAGUGCGGAAGGGGCAACUGGAAUUCUCGGUGUAGCGGUGAAAUGCGUAGAUAUCGAGAGGAACACCUGCGGCGAAGGCGGGUUGCUGGGCCGACACGUGACGCUGAGGCGCGAAAGCUAGGGGAGCGAACGGG
rnacentral:rRNA from 1 species